AUUGAACGCUGGCGGCAGGCUUAACACAUGCAAGUCGAGCGAGCGGCGGACGGGUGAGUAAUGUCUGGGAAACUGCCUGAUGGAGGGGGAUAACUACUGGAAACGGUAGAUAAAACCGCAUAACAUCAGGUGUGGCCAGAUGGGAUUAGCUAGUGGGUGGGGUAAUGGGUCACCUGGGCGACGAUCCCUCGCUGGUGUGUGAGGAUGACCAGCCAAACUGGAACUGAGACACGGUCCAGACGCCUACGGGAGUCAGCAGUGGGGAAGAUUGCACAAUGGGCGAAAGCCUGAUGCAGCGAUGCCGCGUGUGUGAAGAAGGCCUUCGGGUUGUAAAGCACUUUCAGCGAUGAGGCGUUACGCGCAGAAGAAGCACCGGCUAACUCCGUGCCAGCAGCCGCGGUAAUAC
rnacentral:rRNA from 1 species